UUUGUCGGUAGCAUGUUUAAGAGGCAAGAAGAACUCUAUGUGUCACCGUGUCCAUCAUCGUCACUCUCGGUUUACCUUGUGUCAGAGCUGGACACUGCCCUUACUUCAGUCCCCUCUUCCGACAUUGUCUGCAAAGGCAUGUGUUUCCCUUGUGCUCAGAAGCAUGCCUUUUUCCCACUUUUUCACGCGUGCUCUCGGCAAACCUAAAUAUGCCUGUCUGGCAUUCACAUGACGUGGACGGCAUUUAGUCAGUACAAUUCAUAUUCUUGUCGAAGUACUGUCAUUGUACUGUAAUUUUAAUAGUCAUCACGUGGAUCAGUAGAGACCCAAAAUGAAUAAAGAGUGACUGAGAGACGUAAAAUAGUUGUGUCUGUCCAUUGCUUUGCGCGGCCUGUGCCUUCCUUGCUUUGUUACUCGAACUCAGGCGUGCUCAUCACAGGUUUCUACCAAUCCCUUGCCUCUGUCCAUGUCAUCUUACAAGCACUAUGCAGCUUCGUUUGAUUUGCUUUGAAGUUGCAGCAGCCUACUUUGCCAAUGGUGUUCUACGCAUUUUGUAUUGACUGUAUAUACUUUGUACAUACAUAAUUCUAGUUUCCAUGUGGUUGAAUUCCGAGACCGGAGUACGUAUGUUGUCUCCUCCCGGUGGGUAACUGAAACGGUUGCUGGAUUAGUCGUGCUAUGGCCAGAGCGGGUAUCGAAGCUGCAGCUGGCGAAACUUCUAAGAACCCAUCAGCCUCCAAGUAACACGUGGGAGCCCAACCACAUUCGCAUACUGCACACAACAGACAAUAUUGAUGAAGCAUUUGACGUCUUGUGCACGGCCGAGGAUACAUCAAACUUUGAAGACAGAGAAAGUCAGAAAAAAACAAGGAAAGACCGGAAGCGAGUCGUACUGUCUGAGAGUGAAAAUGAUCUAACAGAACACGAAGUGCCUAAAGGAAAGAAGAGAGGCUUUCACUAUGCUCCAAAGAAGAUUCCUCCUCCGCCACAGUUGCCACUUCGAUCGUGCAAGCCCCGCCACAGCAUUACUCAGCCACAAGACUCGAGGCAGAUGUACAGAUCAACAGUGCCUGCAGCCGCAUCACAGAUUGC